rnacentral:rRNA from 1 species
AAACCUCCCCGUCAACGCCUGAUCUCGUCAGAUGUCAGCAGCUGAGCAGGACUGGGCCUGGUUAGAGCUUGGAUGGGACACCGCUGUGAGUACCAGGUG